rnacentral:lncRNA from 1 species
UUUUCUAUUUGCAUAAUUAGCAUUGACCGCAUAAUAUUUAGGUCUAUAUUUGAAACAGUCUGUAAAAAGGAUAAGAUGAAAUCGGAUCCCUUUGGCCAAGACUCUAUUUCGGUGAUAUUGACUCGAUCUCAUUAAAAGAAAUUGAGUAACUCACUAAAGUGACACAUAAAAUCAUCCAAUCCAUCCACUAUCGAUGAAAACCUGAAUGCUAUAAAAUAAAUCGUAGAUAAUUCCAAUCAACAGGCUUUACUAAUAUCAAUCUUCAUUACACACUCUCCAUUGGACCCAAAAAUCUACAUAAAAAAAAGUAGUCACCUUCGAAUCCCACUUUGAGCCAGCUUAUGAACAAGCAAAAGACAAUUGUUAAAUGACCAAAGAACUUCAGAGAUCAUUUUUCCCAAAUCAACCACAUGAAAGAAAUUAAAUCAGAUACAAACCGUUACCAACAAUUGGCUUUAUACUAGCACUCCGUAUUGGCUUCAAAAAUUGAUCGCUUUUCCCCAAUAAACUUGGUAAUAAGACAUAACUCAUAAUCAAUAUCUACAACUACAUUGUUAAGACCCUCUGGCCCAACAACUAAUUCCACGUCUUCCUUCUCUUCCAUUGAAAGAUUCUCCAUCUCUCUCUCCACUGCAAACGAAAGAAACAGAUAGCAUGAAAGAAAACAAAAGCAAACAAGACCUUUGACUAAGCGAGGCUAAUCAUGCACUUAGGGCAGAAAAGCUAGAGGCAGGACGGCGCACAUUACUAUUAAGGUAUCUGACGUUACUUGAAUUUGAAAAAAUAUGUUGGAUAUAACAUAUAAAUAUAUGAAAAAUACAGAUAUAUAUAAAAGAAUCAAAGUAAUGUAACUGAGAGAUGCCAUUGCCAAUAUUGGUUCGGCAUAUUUAUCAAAAAGUAGGGAAUAACUAAUAAUACCAUCAGCAGUAUUACAUAUGUAGAGCUAACAUCACCCUUCUUAUCGGAAUUUUGGUGCCAUCGGUUGAUUUCUUUUUUAUUUUUAUAAUUAUGGUUUAUAUUUUAAUAAUUUAUCGUUUUAAACCAUUUAUUACUUCUUUUGCAAUUAAUUUUUAAUUCAAACAUAUUGUUUUUCAAUCUAUGAAAUUAAUCUCUAAUUUAUAAA